rnacentral:rRNA from 1 species
GGUUCGAUUCUGGCUCAGAUUGAACGCUGGCGGGAUGCUUACACAUGCAAGUCGAGCAGCGGCACGGACUUCGGUCUGGUGGCGGAAAUUGGCGAGCAGGUGAGUAAUGUAUCAGAACGUGCCCUGGUAGCGAGGAUAACUACGCGAAAGCGUAGCUAAUGCCGCAUACGCCCUUCGAAGCGGGGACGCCGGGCCUCGCACUAUUAAACGGCCGAUAUCGGAUUAGCUAGUUGGUGGAGUAACGGCUCACCAAGGCGACGAUCCGUAGCUGGUUUGAGAGGACGACCAGCACGCACAGGACUGAGACACGGCCCAGACUCCUACGGGAGGCAGCAGUGAAAUUUUGGACAAUGGGGAAACCUGAUCCAGCCAUCCCGUGUUGCGAUGAAGGCCUUCGGGUUAUAAAGCACUUUUGGCAGGAAAGAAACGGCUGCGGGAUAAUACCCCGUGCAACUGACAAACCUGCAGAAUAAGCACCGGCUAACUGCGUGCCAGCAGCCGCGGUAAUACGUAGGGUGCAAGCGUUAUCGGAAUUACUGGGCGUAAAAAGCGUGCGCGAGCGGUUCGGAAGAAAGAUGUUGAAAUCCCAGGCUUAACUUUGAACUGAGUACCCAUACCGAGCUGAAGGUGUGUCAGAGGAGGUGGAAUUCCGCGUCGCCAGCAGUGAAAUGCGUAGAUAUGCGGAGAACACCGUGCUUGAAGGCAGCCUCCUGGGACUUGACGCUCAUGCACGAAAGCGUGGGGAGCAAACGGGAUUAGAUGCCCUGGUAGUCCACGCCUAAACGAUGUCAACUAGCUGUUGGGGCCUUCGGGCCUUGGUAGCGCAGCUAACGCGUGAAGUUGACCGCCUGGGGAGUACGGUCACAAGAUUAAACUCAAAGGGAUCCAAUGGGGACCCGCACAAGCGGUGGAUGAUGUGGAUUAAUUCGAUGCAGCGCGAAAAACCUUACCUACCUUGACAUGUCUGGAAUCCCGAAGAGAUUUGGGAGUGCUCGCAAGAGAACCGGAACACAGGUGCUGCAUGGCUGUCGUCAGCUCGUGUCGUGAGAUGUUGGGUUAAGUCCGCAGGCGCAACCCUUGUCAUUAGUUGCUACGAAAGGGCACUCUAAUGAGACUGCCGGUGACAAACCGGAGGGAAGGUGGGGAUGACGUCAGGUCCUCAUGGCCCUUAUGGGUGAGGCUUCACACGUCAUACCAAUGGUCGGGACAGAGGGUCGCCAACCCGCGAGAAGACCAAUCCCAGAAACCCGAUCGUAGUCCGGAUCGCAGUCUGCAACUCGACUGCGUGAAGUGGAGAUCGCUAGUAAUCGCGGAUCGGCAUGUCGCGGUGAAUCGUUCCCGGGUCUUGUACACACCGCCCGUCACGUAAAUUGGGUUUUACCAAGUAGUUAGCCUAACCGUAAGGAGGCGAUUACCACGAUAGGAUUCGCAGCUGGGGUGGAGAGUCGUAACAAGGUAA